UAACUUCAUUGGGUUUUGACUCAGUUGCAUUUUUCAUUUCUUCAUAUUCUAUCUUUACUGGUGUACGCUUUUUUUUCACGGUUUUAUUUUGUAAAUCUUGAACUUUAAUUUCAGUAUUUUUCGAGUCGGUUACAUCUUUCAUUUCUUCAUGCUUUAUUUUUACCGGUGCACGGUCCUUUUUCACGGUUUUAUUUUGUAAAUCUUCAAUUUUAAUUUCACUAUUUUUCGAGUUAGCUGCAUCUUUCAUUUCUUCAUGUUUUAUCUUAACUGGUGUAUGCUUCUUCUUCACAAUUUUUUUUGAUCGUAAGGACCUUGGCUUUGUAAGGACAUCAAGCUUUAACUUUUUACUCAUUUUAUAAAGGUUACAACACGAUGAAGUAUAUGUCAGAAGUCUACUUGAGAUAAACAAAAGAAUGUCAUGUCGGCAAACAGCAAUAUAAUUCGAAGAUAACAUAACCUUCCGCGCUUCUUCCGUGAUUUGAAUUAAUAAUUUAGGUCACUGUGCAUGCGUAGCAAUAUAAAAAUUGAUGAUCUAUUUAUAAUCAUCAAAUGCGUAUAUAAAUACAUACUACCA
rnacentral:misc_RNA from 1 species